UGAUGCAAUUCGAAUAUGUGUCCCCACC
rnacentral:piRNA from 1 species